UACGUAGGGCGCAAGCGUUGUCCGGAAUUAUUGGGCGUAAAGAGCUCGUAGGCGGCCUGUUGCGUCCGCUGUGAAAUCCCGGGGCUUAACCCCGGGCUUGCAGUGGAUACGGGCAGGCUGGAGGCAGGCAGGGGAGAACGGAAUUCCCGGUGUAGCGGUGAAAUGCGCAGAUAUCAGGAAGAAUAUCCGUGGCGAAGGCGGCUCUCUGGUACGGCACUGACGCUGAGACGCGAAAGCGUGGGGAGCAAACAGG
rnacentral:rRNA from 1 species